AACGGAAAGGCCCUGCUUUUGUGGGGUGCUCGAGUGGCGAACGGGCGAGUAACACGUGAGUAACCUGCCCUUGACUUUGGGAUAACUUCAGGAAACUGGGGCUAAUACCGGAUAGGAGCUCCUGCUGCAUGGUGGGGGUUGGAAAGUUUCGGCGGUUGGGGAUGGACUCGCGGCUUAUCAGCUUGUUGGUGGGGUAGUGGCUUACCAAGGCUUUGACGGGUAGCCGGCCUGAGAGGGUGACCGGCCACAUUGGGACUGAGAUACGGCCCAGACUCCUACGGGAGGCAGCAGUGGGGAAUAUUGCACAAUGGGCGGAAGCCUGAUGCAGCAACGCCGCGUGCGGGAUGACGGCCUUCGGGUUGUAAACCGCUUUCGCCUGUGACGAAGCGUGAGUGACGGUAAUGGGUAAAGAAGCACCGGCUAACUACGUGCCAGCAGCCGCGGUGAUACGUAGGGUGCGAGCGUUGUUCGGAUUUAUUGGGCGUAAAGGGCUCGUAGGUGGUUGAUCGCGUCGGAAGUGUAAUCUUGGGGCUUAACCCUGAGCGUGCUUUCGAUACGGGUUGACUUGAGGAAGGUAGGGGAGAAUGGAAUUCCUGGUGGAGCGGUGGAAUGCGCAGGUAUCAGGAGGAACACCAGUGGCGAAGGCGGUUCUCUGGGCCUUUCCCGACGCUGAGGAGCGAAAGCGUGGGGAGCGAACAGGCUUAGAUACCCUGGU
rnacentral:rRNA from 1 species